UCUACGAUGUGCGUGGAGGCAAGGUUGGCUUCGUCCCAAACGGCUGCUAGCUCGCUCAUGGAUCAUAUUCAUAUCAGCUAGCAUGCAUGCGUGCAUCUUAAUUUGGGCAUAGCGCAUGUUGGUAUGGUUUGCUUCAAAUCUUCAAAUAAGAGUCACGUUUGGUGUGGAAGUGUGGAGCGGAGUCAUCUCCAGUUCUCCACACGGACAAAUAAGCAGCAGCUGCGUAGCUAUAUACUGCAUUUUUUUAAGAUAUGUAACCACUGCGCUUGUACUUUUGAUGUUAUUUUGAACAAGGAU
rnacentral:lncRNA from 1 species